CAGGAAAGGGCAUGGAGAAAUGUACUUUCAGCAGAGCAUUUCCAAGAAUUAGUCAGGAAUUUUUUGAAACUGUUACUCACUGGAAAAUGCCAAUUGGUUGAAACUUAAACUUUAUGCAGGAAUAUAAAAAUGUAGGUCAAGAAAAAAGUAUCCAAGUAAAAAGCUCCUUGUUCCUCAGUACAACUCCGUGUCCUACCCACAGCCGCCCCCAAGAGCAGCCGCGGCCGCGGGGGGCCCGUCCCCGCACUGGGCUCACGGCUGCAAAAGCCGUUGGGAGCGCCGGUUUCCAGCCUGAUGUGCACCUGGAAAAUGUCUGAAAUCCCUCUUUCGUUUUUUUUUUUAAACCAUGCAAGGAAGCAGUUUCUGCUCUACCUGCGGAUGGAGGACGCAAGCGGGGCCACCACGCUACGACGGGCUUGCUUCUUCCGUCAGCCGUUCGCCGCAGAGGGACACCUUUUUUUUGCCCUGUUUCUGCAUCCCUGCCGGGCUCGCUGCAAGGUGCUCUGCUGUUUCAUUCUGGCACGUGCACUGCUGAAAGUACGUUUCUGCGUGCACGGCGUGCACCCGCGCGCCAGCGCCCAGCACAAGGCAGCCGAGAGCUGGGAGCAAGCGACUGCUCCACGCUAGGUGUGAAUUCAGCCGGCGCCGUGCCGCUGCCCCUCGAACGGCGCGCCAAAUCCGAUCGCAAAGAUUCACUAACAUGGGUGAAAAGGCAGAAAACCCCGACUUGGCCCACGUGUCCUCCUCCAUCUCCCGCCCUCCCCGGCUGCCCCAGUCCCACGCUGGAGCCGAAAGAGCCCAGCUGCGUCUGCACUGAUUUACCGCCCUUACAAAGCUCAGCUUUUCUGCUGGAUCAAUCCCUGCCCCGAGCCAAGGGACGUUUGUCCCUGCUGGGCCGUGCAACUGCAGAGCUGCAAUCCCCCGCAGAGGGGUUUGCAAGACCGUGCAAAAAACGCCUACCAGAAACUAAACUGGGACCAGAAACGAAGCGUUUCUGCGCUCCCGGGCUUCCCAUACGGCAGAGCACCACCUCAGCCUGAGAAGCACCUCCUUCCUUUCUUUGCGGUCCA
rnacentral:lncRNA from 1 species